rnacentral:rRNA from 1 species
UACGUAGGGGGCAAGCGUUGUCCGGAUUUAUUGGGCGUAAAGAGCGCGUAGGCGGCCAGACAGGUCCGUUGUGAAAACUCGAGGCUCAACCUCGAGAUGUCGAUGGAAACCGUCUGGCUAGAGUCCGGAAGAGGAGUGUGGAAUUCCUGGUGUAGCGGUGAAAUGCGCAGAUAUCAGGAAGAACACCUAUGGCGAAGGCAGCACUCUGGGACGGUACUGACGCUGAGGCGCGAAAGCGUGGGGAGCGAACAGG